UACCUCAAAGUCGCUCAUCAACGAACCCUCUCACGCUCUCAAACUCAAAGAAUCACUCUCUCUCAACUCUCACGAUAUCUCCAUUAACAAGCAAGUGAAAAGGAUAAAAGGAAAAAAGGAGAAGCUCUUACAAAGUGUCACGGCGGUGGUGAAAGGCGUGAAGAAGCUGGCUCCCAAUCCAGGUAAUCGAUUUUGGGAUUUAGGGUUUUGUUUGAGAUUUCCGCCUCUGAUUUUCUGUUUGUUGAUUCCUCCUCUCUUACUGAUUUUCUCUCUCUAUUUAUCUCCCAGCUUAGGGUUUCGAAUUGGUGCCCUUGUGUUCAAAAGCGUAUCUCUGCAAAAUCCUCUUUGAUGUUCUCUGCUAACAAUGGACGGCGAAGAAGAAGAUGAACAAGUGAUAGCUGAAGAAGUUGAAGCCAUGAAAUCCGUUAUGAAAACGAUUGUACCAUUCUCAAUUCCAUUCCUCCUCACUUCCAUUUAUCCCUUAAACCCAGAACCGCUGAUGUUUCUUCUCACCAGGUUCCCAAUUUUUCUUCAAACCCCUAAUUUCAUUUUUUUUAACUUUUCAUAAUUCUAAUUCAAUUAUUCAUUAAUUAAUCC
rnacentral:lncRNA from 1 species